AUGAACGCUAGCUACAGGCUUAACACAUGCAAGUCGAGGGGCAGCGGGAUUGAAGCUUGCUUCAAUUGCCGGCGACCGGCGCACGGGUGAGUAACGCGUAUCCAACCUUCCGCUUACUCGGGGAUAGCCUUUCGAAAGAAAGAUUAAUACCCGAUGGUAUCUUAAGCACGCAUGAGAUUAAGAUUAAAGAUUUAUCGGUAAGCGAUGGGGAUGCGUUCCAUUAGGCAGUUGGCGGGGUAACGGCCCACCAAACCUACGAUGGAUAGGGGUUCUGAGAGGAAGGUCCCCCACAUUGGAACUGAGACACGGUCCAAACUCCUACGGGAGGCAGCAGUGAGGAAUAUUGGUCAAUGGGCGAGAGCCUGAACCAGCCAAGUAGCGUGAAGGAUGACGGCCCUACGGGUUGUAAACUUCUUUUGUGCGGGAAUAAAGGAACCUACGUGUAGGUUUUUGCAUGUACCGUAACGAAUAAGCAUCGGCUAACUCCGUGCCAGCAGCCGCGGUAAUACGGAGGAUGCGAGCGUUAUCCGGAUUUAUUGGGUUUAAAGGGAGCGUAGACGGGUUUUUAAGUCAGCUGUGAAAGUUUGGGGCUCAACCUUAAAAUUGCAGUUGAAACUGGAGACCUUGAGUACGGUUGAGGCAGGCGGAAUUCGUGGUGUAGCGGUGAAAUGCUUAGAUAUCACGAAGAACCCCGAUUGCGAAGGCAGCCUGCUAAGCCGCCACUGACGUUGAGGCUCGAAAGUGCGGGUAUCAAACAGGAUUAGAUACCCUGGUAGUCCGCACGGUAAACGAUGGAUACUCGCUGUUGGCGAUAGACAGUCAGCGGCCAAGCGAAAGCGUUAAGUAUCCCACCUGGGGAGUACGCCGGCAACGGUGAAACUCAAAGGAAUUGACGGGGGCCCGCACAAGCAGUGGAGUAUGUGGUUUAAUUCGAAGCAACGCGAAGAACCUUACCAGGUCUUGACAUCCCGAUGCUAUUUCUAGAGAUAGAAAGUUACUUCGGUACAUCGGUGACAGGUGGUGCAUGGUUGUCGUCAGCUCGUGCCGUGAGGUGUCGGCUUAAGUGCCAUAACGAGCGCAACCCUUGCUGCCAGUUACUAACAGGUCAUGCUGAGGACUCUGGCAGGACUGCCAUCGUAAGAUGCGAGGAAGGUGGGGAUGACGUCAAAUCAGCACGGCCCUUACGUCCGGGGCUACACACGUGUUACAAUGGGGAGUACAGAGGGCAGCUACCGGGCGACCGGAUGCGAAUCCCGAAAGCUCCUCUCAGUUCGGACUGGAGUCUGCAACCCGACUCCACGAAGCUGGAUUCGCUAGUAAUCGCGCAUCAGCCACGGCGCGGUGAAUACGUUCCCGGGCCUUGUACACACCGCCCGUCAAGCCAUGAAAGCCGGGGGUACCUGAAGUACGUAACCGCGAGGAUCGUCCUAGGGUAAAACCGGUAAUUGGGGCU
rnacentral:rRNA from 1 species